rnacentral:tRNA from 1 species
CGCGGGGUAGAGCAGUUGGUAGCUCGUCAGGCUCAUAACCUGAAGGUCAUAGGUUCAAGUCCUAUCUCCGCAA